GAUGAACGCUAGCGGCAGGCUUAACACAUGCAAGUCGAGGGGUAUGUAUCUUCGGAUAGAGAGACCGGCUCACGGGUGCGUAACUCGUAUGCAAUCUACCUUUUACAGAGGGAUAGCCCAGAGAAAUUUGGAUUAAUACCCCAUAGUAUAUAGACUUGUCAUCGAGAUUAUAUUAAAGUCACAACGGUAAAAUAUGAUCAUGCGUCCCAUUAGCUAGUUGGUAAGGUAACGUCUUACCAAGGCUACGAUGGGUAGGGGUCCUGAGAGUGAGAUCCCCCACACUGGUACUGAGACACGGACCAGACUCCUAGGGGAGGCAGCAGUGAGGAAUAUUGGACAAUGGGCGCAAGCCUGAUCCAGCCAUGCCGCGUGCAGGAUGACGGUCCUAGGGAUUGUAAACUGCUUUUAUACGAGAAGAAACUAAGCUACGUGUAGCAGCUUGACGGUAUCGUAAGAAUAAGAAUCGGCUAACUACGUG
rnacentral:rRNA from 1 species